rnacentral:rRNA from 1 species
CCUACGGGUGGCAGCAGUGGGGAAUAUUGGACAAUGGGGGCAACCCUGAUCCAGCCAUGCCGCGUGUGUGAAGAAGGCCCUCGGGUUGUAAAGCACUUUCAGUGAGGAAGAACGCCUGGUGGUUAAUACCCAUCAGGAAAGACAUCACUCACAGAAGAAGCACCGGCUAACUCCGUGCCAGCAGCCGCGGUAAUACGGAGGGUACGAGCGUUAAUCGGAAUUACUGGGCGUAAAGCGCGCGUAGGUGGCUUGAUAAGCCGGUUGUGAAAGCCCCGGGCUCAACCUGGGAACGGCAUCCGGAACUGUCAAGCUAGAGUGCAGGAGAGGAAGGUAGAAUUCCCGGUGUAGCGGUGAAAUGCGUAGAGAUCGGGAGGAAUACCAGUGGCGAAGGCGGCCUUCUGGACUGACACUGACACUGAGGUGCGAAAGCGUGGGUAGCAAACAGGAUUAGAUACCCUGGUAGUC